CGGGAAAAAAAGAUUGUUCUAUUUUGGAUUUUCUAGACAACAUGAGCCUAGAGCAUAAUUUUCAUACUCUGCUCUCUCCUCAGGCUGCUCAAGAAUAUCAAGCUUUCCAUGAGCUUGUUGGUCAUCUUCAGAAUUCUAGAGCUGACAAUAACAGAUGGUUCUAUCCCUGGGGCAACUCUAACUUCAACUCUUCCAAGUUCUAUAAUCUAACUUUCCAGUCAAUCCAACCACCACUAGCUUUCAAUUGGAUAUGGCAGUCCAAGGUCUGUAAGAAGCUCAAGUUUUUGUCUGGCUGGUUUUCAAAGACAG
rnacentral:misc_RNA from 1 species